rnacentral:rRNA from 1 species
GACAGAGGGUGCAAACGUUGCUCGGAAUUACUGGGCGUAAAGCGUGCGCAGUCGGUUAUUUAAGUCGGAUGUGAAAUCCCCGGGCUCGACCUGGGAAUUGCAUUCGAUACUGGAUAGCUAGAGUUCGGCAGAGGGAAGUGGAAUUUCAGGUGUAGCGGUGAAAUGCGUAGAUAUCUGAAGGAACAUCAGUGGCGAAAGCGACUUCCUGGACCAGAACUGACGAUCAGGCACGAAAGCGUGGGGAGCAAACAGG